rnacentral:rRNA from 1 species
AGCAGCCGCGGUAAUACGGAGGAUGCAAGCGUUAUCCGGAUUUAUUGGGUUUAAAGGGUGCGUAGGCGGCUUGGUAAGCGGGAGGUGAAAUGCCGGCGCUCAACGUCGGAAGUGCCUCCCGAACUGUCGGGCUUGAAUGGUUGUGCCGUGGGAGGAAUGAGUGGUGUAGCGGUGAAAUGCUUAGAGAUCACUCAGAACACCGAUUGCGAAGGCAUCUCACGAACGACUGAUUGACGCUGAGGCACGAAAGCGUGGGGAUCAAACAGGAUUAGAUACCCUGGUAGUCCACGCAGUAAACGAUGAUGGCUAACCGCUGGGGCAGACGCUUCAGUGGCCAAGCGAAAGCGAUAAGUUAUCCACCUGGGGAGUACGUUCGCAAGAAUGAAACUCAAAGGAAUUGACGGGGGCCCGCACAAGCGGAGGAACAUGUGGUUUAAUUCGAUGAUACGCGAGGAACCUUACCCGGGCUCAAACGCACGUUGAAUGGCGCCGAAAGGAGUCAGCCGGCAACGGCAAUGUGCGAGGUGCUGCAUGGUUGUCGUCAGCUCGUGCCGUGAGGUGUCGGCUUAAGUGCCAUAACGAGCGCAACCCCCAUCUUCAGUUGCUAACGGGUGAAGCCGAGGACUCUGGAGAGACUGCCGGCGCAAGCUGCGAGGAAGGCGGGGAUGACGUCAAAUCAGCACGGCCCUUACGUCCGGGGCGACACACGUGUUACAAUGGCGGGGCACAGCGGGAUGCCAGGUGGCGACACCGAGCGGACCCCGAAAACCCGUCUCAGUUCGGAUUGGAGUCUGCAACCCGACUCCAUGAAGCUGGAUUCGCUAGUAAUCGCGCAUCAGCCACGGCGCGGUGAAU